CGGCUCAGUUAAGCAG
rnacentral:miRNA from 1 species